CAUGUGAGUCGACGGUGCGGCGUGGAGCUUCUCGCUUCGCCACGACCGUGGCGUCCGGGUGCGUAACACGUAGCUAACCUACCGGCGGGUGGGGAAUAACCCCGGGAAACCGGGGACAAUACCGCAUAUGGUCACGGGGUGAUGCCCGUGGACGAAAGCUGUGUCGAGGGAACUUGAUAUGGCGCCGGCUGAGGGGGCUGCGGCCGAUUAGCUAGUUGGUGGGGUAAUGGCUCACCAAGGCGAUGAUCGGUAGCGGGUCUGAGAGGAUGAUCCGCCACACGGGGACUGAGAUAUGGUCCCGAGCCCUACGGGGUUUAGCAUGGGGGAAUCUUGCGCAAUGGGCGAAAGCCUGACGCAGCAACGCCGCGUGGGGGAUGAAGGCCUUCGGGUCGUAAACCCCUUUUCUGGGGGACGCAACUGACGGUACCCCAGGAAUAAGCCUCGGCUAACUACGUGCCAGCAGCCGCGGUAAUACGUAGGAGGCAAGCGUUAUCCGGAAUUACUGGGCGUAGAGCGCUCGUAGGCGGCUCGGCAGGUGCCCUGUGAAAGCCCCCGGCUUACCCGGGGAGGGUCGGAGCAAACCACCGAGCUCGAGGCAGGCAGAGGGCCGCGGAACGUCCGGGGGAGUGGUGGAAUGCGUAGAUCCCGGACGGAACACCAGAGGCGAAGGCGGCGGUCUGGGUCUGACCUGACGCUGAGGAGCGACAGCGUGGGGAGCGAACAGGAUUAGAUACCCUGGUAGUCCACGCCGUAAACGAUGGACGCUAGGUGUGUGGAGGGCUCAACCCCUCUGUGCGCCGGAGCUAACGCGGUAAGCGUCCCGCCUGGGGACUACGGUCGCAAGACUAAAACUCAAAGGAAUUGACGGGGGCCCGCACAAGCAGCGGAGCGUGUGGUU
rnacentral:rRNA from 1 species